rnacentral:rRNA from 1 species
ACUCCUACGGAAGGCAGCAGUGGGGAAUUUUGGACAAUGGGGGCAAGCCUGAUCCAGCCAUGCCGCGUGUGUGAAGAAGGCCUUCGGGUUGUAAAGCACUUUUGUUGGGGAAGAAACCGGCCGGGUUAAUACCCUGGUUGAAUGACGGUACCCAAAGAAUAAGCACCGGCUAACUUCGUGCCAGCAGCCGCGGUAAU